rnacentral:tRNA from 1 species
GGCCCAGUGGCGGAGCGGCGACGCACCGGACUGCAAAUCCGGUUACCCAGGUUCAACUCCUGGCAAGGGCCUCCA